UACGUAGGGGGCUAGCGUUGUCCGGAAUCAUUGGGCGUAAAGAGCGUGUAGGCGGUCCGGUAAGUCCGCUGUGAAAGUCGGGGGCUCAACCCUCGAAUGCCGGUGGAUACUGUGCGACUAGAGUGCGGAAGGGGCAACUGGGAAUUCUCGGUGUAGCGGUGAAAUGCGCAGAUAUCAGGAAGAACACCAAUGGCGAAGGCAGCUCUCUGGGACGGUACUGACACUGAGAC
rnacentral:rRNA from 1 species